AGGCCAAAAGAUUAAAAGGCACGGCCGGCACGCCCCGCCGCCGCCGACUGCGCCCUGCGCCUCCACCGCGACGCACGGCCGCCGUUCUCCUUCCUCGACGCGCCGCCGACCCCCUUCCCCGAACGCCUUUGGCCCCAAUAGGCGACGCAGGGCCGCCGUCCCCCUUCCUCAACGUGCCGCCGGCCCUCUUCCCCGAACGCCGCUGGCCCGAAUCAGCGACGCAGGGCCGCUCGCGCUUCUCAACCAGCGCCAGGCCUCCACCCCCGUCCGCUUGGCCGCCUGUGCUGACGCCCGUCGUCCCGAGGCCGACGCGCUGCCGCUGGGCUUGCGCCACUGUCAACUGCGCCCACCCGCGCUCCUCCCCGACGCCAGGUCUGCGCCACAGUCAACUGCGCCCGCCCACGCUCCUCUUGACGCCAGAUGGAGCCCAUAGUUAGCAGAAACCUUCCUCUUGGGUUUGAUUCAAGUACAUGCUGCAGCGUGAAAGUGUUAGGAGCGUUUCUUUGCCUUAGGGACUCCUGUACUGCUGAAAGCUGAUUUAUGCAUUGCUAAAGCACAAUAUGUAAUGUUACUUGAAAGAAAUGCACGGUGCUGUUUAUGAACCAUAUAUAUUAUUGUUCCGAUCUUGGUUA